UACGUAGGGUGCAAGCGUUAUCCGGAUUCACUGGGUUUAAAGGGUGCGUAGGUGGUUUUGUAAGUCAGUGGUGAAAGCCCGGAGCUCAACUCCGGAACUGCCAUUGAUACUGCUUAACUUGAAUCAAGUAGAGGUGGAUGGAAUAUUACAUGUAGCGGUGAAAUGCUUAGAGAUGUAAUAGAACACCAAUUGCGAAGGCAGUUCACUAUGCUUGUAUUGACACUGAGGCACGAAAGCGUGGGGAUCAAACAGG
rnacentral:rRNA from 1 species